rnacentral:rRNA from 1 species
UACGUAGGGGGCGAGCGUUGUCCGGAUUCAUUGGGCGUAAAGCGCGCGCAGGCGGCCGCGAGAGCCCGGCGUGAAAGCCCCCGGCUCAACCGGGGGAGGCCGUCGGGGACCUCGGGGCUGGAGGCCGGUAGGGGCGAGCGGAAUUCCCGGUGUAGUGGUGGAAUGCGUAGAGAUCGGGAGGAACACCGGUGGCGGAGGCGGCUCGCUGGGCCGGUCCUGACGCUCGGGCGCGAAAGCUAGGGGAGCAAACAGG